rnacentral:rRNA from 1 species
AUCCGCUUUGAGAUGGCCUCGCGUCCGAUUAGCUAGUUGGUGAGGUAAUGGCCCACCAAGGCGACGAUCGGUAGCCGGACUGAGAGGUUGAACGGCCACAUUGGGACUGAGACACGGCCCAGACUCCUACGGGAGGCAGCAGUGGGGAAUAUUGCACAAUGGGGGAAACCCUGAUGCAGCGACGCCGCGUGGAGGAAGAAGGUCUUCGGAUUGUAAACUCCUGUUGUUGAGGAAGAUAAUGACGGUACUCAACAAGGAAGUGACGGCUAACUACGUGCCAGCAGCCGCGGUAAAACGUAGGUCACAAGCGUUGUCCGGAAUUACUGGGUGUAAAGGGAGCGCAGGCGGGAGAACAAGUUGGAAGUGAAAUCCAUGGGCUCAACCCAUGAACUGCUUUCAAAACUGUUUUUCUUGAGUAGUGCAGAGGUAGGCGGAAUUCCCGGUGUAGCGGUGGAAUGCGUAGAUAUCGGGAGGAACACCAGUGGCGAAGGCGGCCUACUGGGCACCAACUGACGCUGAGGCUCGAAAGUGUGGGUAGCAAACAGGAUUAGAUACCCUGGUAGUCCACACCGUAAACGAUGAUUACUAGGUGUUGGGGGAUUGACCC